rnacentral:misc_RNA from 1 species
AACAUCGCGCACCUGCGGGAACCUGCGGAGGGAUCAUUACAGAGUUGCAAAACUCCCUAAACCAUUGUGAACCUACCUUCUACCGUUGCUUCGGCGGGCGGGCCUAGCGCCCCCCCGGCCCCCCGCGGGCGCCCGCCGGAGGAUAACCAAACUCCCGACAUCAGUGGCCUCUCUGAGUAUUCUUUACUGAAUAAGUCAAAACUUUCAACAACGGAUCU